AUGUCCUGGUGUGCUGCAUAGAAGAAAGUCAGCGCUCUAGCAGAGGUGGCUGCCUAUCACAUUUGCCUCCAUCAAUGCUUUGCGCUCCAAGCUGCCCAUCAGAAUCACCCAGAGAACUUCAAACAGCAUGAAUUCUAAGGGGCCAGCUCUAGGGAUUCAGAUUCAGUUGACUAGGAAAUUAUUUAUUUAUAGUACUUAUUUUACGGACUUCUGAGAGAGAACAGGAAAUCGUGUGUCUUCACUACCUACAGCAACUAAGAAAGGCAGGUGUCUUUAGGGGAAAGCUUCUAUAAUAAGUCACCUCAACCUUUCCUCUGGCUGCAGCUGCAACCUUUCUGGGGAGAGGAGUUAAGCAUGCCCCAAAGUAUUCCUGUCUACCGUCUUUACAACACCAGCUAAGAUGUCCAUAAACGUUCCUGUUUGCUGCAUUUCCUUCUUGAGCUCUGACCUUAAACUGAGCAUGCCUAGCAAUGUACAAUUUCAACUGAGCAUUCUUGGAAAUAAGCCCACCCCUACAGUACUUUCCCAUGUGAAUAUUUAGGGACUCGAAUAAAAUCACCAUACAUUUUUUU